AGGCUUUAGAAAAUCAUCCACUGGAUAGUUCUGUAAACUUCACAGCAGGCCUCUUUGUUAACACUAGAACUCCGUCCUCUUUUAUGGAAAUUGUCUAACUGAUUGACUGGAGACCUAACAGCUCUAUUAGUGAGAUUAUAAGCUCAUUAAAGGAAGAAAAUCUUUGAAUGGAUGUAUUAGUCCUAAUGAAGAACUGUUAAGUGGAGGAUACAGUGCAAAAGUUGGUCUUCUAUUUUUUGACUGGAAAUUUCAAGCACGCGAUAUUGUCAGCUGCAGUUUUGCACUCGAAGUUGUCAGUAGCCAUUUAAGUAGCUUAUUGGCAGAUAUAAUCGGGACACUGUGAUACAAGUGCUUUUUAUUGCAGACACAAUAAAUCAGAUUUUCAGCCGGUGAAAAAUCACUGCAGCACAACAGACUUCAGUGGAGUCAUGUCAAAUGAGGAUCUGGCCCUAAAAUGUAUAGCAAAAAGUAGUAAAGCUAUGAAUGUUUUUCCUUCUGUUUCAACAAGGGGUGCUGCUUUCAAAUUGAAUUUGACUGUUUUUUUUUUCUAAAGUCCCGUGAUGAAGCAUUCUUACUUAAUUCUAGCCAGCGAUGUAUGUUAGAAAAAGAGAACAAACUUGAACUACUUCCUUUAACUUAAAAAUUCUGUUACUUGAAGUUUUAUUAUAUGCAUUGCAAAGUUUUUCUUCAGUUUCACUCAGUCAUGUGAUCUUAUUUCAGUACUCCCAACCCCUAACAUUCAAAAGUAGAAUCUGGUCCCCCGAAAAUCAUGAAAUUAGGUAAAAAUUAUAAGACUAAUUGAGCCUAUUCUUAUUUUUCUUCUGUUUUCUGAGCCUGUAUUCGCUUCUUUUUUAAAAAGCUUUUCACUGCAGUUGAAAUGACCAGGAACAUGCUUGUUCUUCUGCAAUAUCAUGUUUCCAGCACUUGGGGCUUAAAAAAAACCCAGUAAAAAUCUUGAAAUUUGUGAUUAAAAUUAUAAGAGUUGGCAACAUUUUGUUAGCCAGUUGAAAACACUAGUAGGAACAGUGGCAGCCAUCAUGAAUUACAACACCUGCGUGGAUUUCUCCCUGUUAU